AUUUUUUGAGGUGAGAAAUGGCUCCUCACACGCUAAAUUUAGUAAAUAGAGAUGCAGGAUACCCGACCUGCCAAAAACU
rnacentral:ncRNA from 12 species